rnacentral:rRNA from 1 species
UACGUAGGGUGCAAGCGUUGUCCGGAAUUAUUGGGCGUAAAGAGCUCGUAGGCGGUUUGUCGCGUCGGCUGUGAAAACCUAGGGCUCAACUCUGGGCUUGCAGCCGAUACGGGCAAACUAGAAUUCGGUAGGGGGAGACUGGAAUUCCUGGUGUAGCGGUGAAAUGCGCAGAUAUCAGGAGGAACACCGGUGGCGAAGGCGGGUCUCUGGGCCGAUAUUGACGCUGAGGAGCGAAAGCGUGGGGAGCGAACAGG